rnacentral:sRNA from 1 species
AGGGAUGGCUUCCUGGGCUAAGGGCAGGAGCUACCUGGCGCCUGGUUUGCUGCAGGGCCAAGUGGCCAUCGUCACCGGCGGGGCCACGGGCAUCGGAAAAGCCAUCGUGAAGGAGCUUCUGGAGCUGGGGAGUAAUGUGGUCAUUGCAUCCCGUAAGUUGGAGAGAUUGAAGUCUGCAGCAGGUGAACUGCAGGCCAACCUACCUCCCACAAAGCAGGCACGAGUCAUUCCCAUACAGUGCAACAUCCGGAACGAGGAGGAGGUGAAUAAUUUGGUCAAAUCUACCUUAGAUAUUUUUGGUAAAAUCAAUUUCUUGGUGAACAAUGGAGGAGGCCAGUUUCUUUCCCUUGCUGAACACAUCAGUUCUAAGGGAUGGCACGCUGUGCUUGAGACCAACCUGACGGGUACCUUCUACAUGUGCAAAGCAGUUUACAGCUCCUGGAUGAAAGAGCACGGAGGAUCUAUCGUCAAUAUCAUUGUCUCUAUUAAAACUGGAUUACCAUUAGCUGUGCAUUCUGGAGCUGCAAGAGCAGGUGUUUACAACCUCACCAAAUCUUUAGCUUUGGAAUGGGCCUGCAGUGGAGUACGGAUCAAUUGUGUUGCCCCUAAGGAGUCUUGCUCUGUUGCCCAGGCUGGAGAGCAGUGGCGUGAUCUUGGCUCACUGCAACCUCUGCCUCCUGGGUUCAAGUGAUUCUCCUGCCUCAGCCUCCCGAGGAGUUAUUUAUUCCCAGACUGCUGUGGAGAACUAUGGUUCCUACGGACAAAGCUUCUUUGAAGAGUCUUUUCAGAAAAUCCCUGCUAAACGAAUUGGUGUUCCUGAGGAG